GUCCUCGUAGUAUAUAAAUACCUUGGUCUUGUAAACCAAAAAAGGAGAAUAUCCACCCUCCCUAGGACU
rnacentral:tRNA from 1 species